AUGGCUCAGAUUGAACGCUGGCGGCGUGCUUAACACAUAGCAAGUCGAAACGCGAAAGGGGACUUCGGUCCUAGAGGUAAAGUGGCGGCACGGGGUGAGUAACGCGUGGAUAAUCUGCCCUUAUGAUCGGGAUAACAGUUGGAAACGGCUGCCUAAUACCGGAUACGCUCAAAAUGAACUUUUUUGAGGAAAGAUGGCCUCUGCUUGCAUGCUACCGCGUAAGGAUGAGUCCGCGUCCCAUUAGCUUGUUGGCGGGGUAACGGCCCACCAAGGCAACGAUGGGUAGCCGAUUUGAGAGGAUGAUCGGCCACACUGGAACUGAAACACGGUCCAGACUCCUACGGGAGGCAGCAGUGGGGAAUAUUGCGCAAUGGGCGAAAGCCUGACGCAGCGACGCCGCGUAAGGGAUGAAAAGGGUUUUCGGAUCGUAAACCUCUGUCAGAAGGGAAGAAACUACAUUGUGCUAAUCAGCAGUGUACUGACGGUACCUUCAAAGGAAGCACCGGCUAACUCCGUGCCAGCCGCUGC
rnacentral:rRNA from 1 species